AGCGAACGCUGGCGGCAGGCCUAACACAUGCAAGUCGAACGGAUCCUUCGGGAUUAGUGGCGGACGGGUGAGUAACACGUGGGAACGUGCCCUUUGGUUCGGAAUAACUCAGGGAAACUUGAGCUAAUACCGGAUGUGCCCUUCGGGGGAAAGAUUUAUCGCCAUUGGAGCGGCCCGCGUCUGAUUAGCUAGUUGGUGGGGUAAAGGCCCACCAAGGCUACGAUCAGUAGCUGGUCUGAGAGGAUGAUCAGCCACAUUGGGACUGAGACACGGCCCAAACUCCUACGGGAGGCAGCAGUGGGGAAUCUUGCGCAAUGGGCGAAAGCCUGACGCAGCCAUGCCGCGUGAAUGAUGAAGGUCUUAGGAUUGUAAAAUUCUUUCACCGGGGACGAUAAUGACGGUACCCGGAGAAGAAGCCCCGGCUAACUUCGUGCCAGCAGCCGCGGUAACAC
rnacentral:rRNA from 1 species